GUUAAUGUAGCUUAAUUAAAGCACAGGACUGAAGGCCCUGAGAUGGGUUGUAGAAGACCUCAAUAACA
rnacentral:tRNA from 1 species